rnacentral:ncRNA from 1 species
GGGUUCGAGUUGGAGCACGCCUGUCGGGACCCGAAAGAUGGUGAACUAUGCCUGAGCGGGGCGAAGCCAGAGGAAACUCUGGUGGGCGCUCGAAGCGAUACUGACGUGCAAAUCGUUCGUCUGACUUGGGUAUAGGGGCGAAAGACUAAUCGAACCAUCUAGUAGCUGGUUCCCUCCGAAGUUUCCCUCAGGAUAGCUGGAGCCCAUUACGAGUUCUAUCAGG